AACGAACGCUGGCGGCGUGCUUAACACAUGCAAGUCGAACGGUAAGGCCCUUCGGGGUACACGAGUGGCGAACGGGUGAGUAACACGUGGGUGAUCUGCCCUGCAUUUCGGGAUAAGCCUGGGAAACUGGGUCUAAUACCGGAUAGGACUCCGGACUGCAUGGUCUGGGGUGGAAAGCUUUUGCGGUGGGGGAUGGGCCCGCGGCCUAUCAGCUUGUUGGUGGGGUGAUGGCCUACCAAGGCGACGACGGGUAGCCGGCCUGAGAGGGUGGCCGGCCACACUGGGACUGAGAUACGGCCCAGACUCAUACGGGAGGCAGCAGUGGGGAAUAUUGCACAAUGGGCGCAAGCCUGAUGCAGCGACGCCGCGUGAGGGAUGACGGCCUUCGGGUUGUAAACCUCUUUCAGCAUCGACGAAGCGAAAGUGACGGUAGGUGCAGAAGAAGGACCGGCCAACUACGUGCCAGCCGCCGCAGUAA
rnacentral:rRNA from 1 species